rnacentral:rRNA from 1 species
GACGAACGCUGGCGGCGUGCUUAACACAUGCAAGUCGAACGGAAAGGCCCUGCUUUUGUGGGGUGCUCGAGUGGCGAACGGGUGAGUAACACGUGAGUAACCUGCCCUUGACUUUGGGAUAACUUCAGGAAACUGGGGCUAAUACCGGAUAGGAGCUCCUGCUGCAUGGUGGGGGUUGGAAAGUUUCGGCGGUUGGGGAUGGACUCGCGGCUUAUCAGCUUGUUGGUGAGGUAGUGGCUUACCAAGGCUUUGACGGGUAGCCGGCCUGAGAGGGUGACCGGCAACAUUGGGACUGAGAUACGGCCCAGACUCCUACGGUACGCAGGAGUGGGGAAGAUUGCACAAUGGGCGGAAGCCUGAUGCGGCAACGCCGCGUGCGGGAUGACGGCCUUGGGGUUGUAAACCGCUGUCGCCUGUGACGAAGCGUGAGUGACGGUAAUGGGUAAAGAAGCACCGGCUAACUACGUG